rnacentral:lncRNA from 1 species
AUGAUUUAUUAUGUUUUUUUUUUUAUUAUUAUUAUUUUUUUGCUUGGUUUUAAGUGUUUUCUAUGGCAUGGGGACAGCUGUGAGAUCCGGGAAAGGGCGCGCUCUGCCUCCGGAUCGGACGUUCUCAUGGAAAAAUGCAAAAAAACAAGGCUCAGAAGCAGGAGUUUGCUGGGUCCCAAGGCGGAUCGCGGAAGGCCACGCUCUGCGUUUAAAGCAGCGGCCAAGGCAGAAUCCCAAAGGUCCCUUUGCUCGUGCCCUUCCGUGCGACCGCAGGGAGCAGAAGAAGGAUCCCAGCUGUCUCCUCUGCUGCGCUCAUCCCCGCUCCGACGCUGGGUUUGGGCUCUGUGCCCACGGUUUCCUCCCAAGCCCUGUGUCCCCCCUGCCCUGCCCACCCUUGCAGGGUGCCAGGACCCCCCCUUGAGCCCUUGGGUGCCAUCGCCAGCCCUGUCCCAGCCCAGGGACAGCCUCUACCGCCCCCAAAUCCACCCCUUUCCCUUUGGGGUGCCCUGUGCCAAGCUGCGCCCCUCUGCUCCAACGGCACGGCGGGGCCAGCGCGGUGUCACCGCGGUGUCACCCAUCCCGCAGCCUUCCUGCCUGAUCUCGGGAGGAUGCCAGGAGCAGAUUUGGGGCUUAGGGAGUUAUCCGGGGCACCCCGGGCGGGCGCUGAGCCGGUUGCGUAAGGACGAGGUCCCCGGGUGCCGGUGGCUUUUCACCCUCUGCGCCUCCGCGGCGUGGGCGAGCGAGGCUUGUGGCACGCGUGGGGCUUUCGGUGGGGUGACAGCGGGGGGGAUGAGUCCUUGCAGAGCUUUUUGCUGCCCCCCCCCGGGGGCUUUGCAGAGCCGCCGGCUGCCGCAAGGGGAUGCCGGAGGCUGCGGGAAGAGGAGACCGGGGACGGGACCGGGAGCGCACGGGUGGGAGAAGGCGGUGGGCAGGGGUGGGAAGGGCGGGCGGAUUUUUUUUAUUCCUCGUGUUUAUUUGAAGAAGUUCGCGCAAAAGACGUGCCGGCAUCCUCCCAGCUGCCCUCGCAUCCUCCCAGGUGUCCUCCCAGGUGUGGUGGAACCAUCCCAACCGGGACAGCAUCCUCCCAGGUGCCACUGCAUCCUGCUGGGUGCGCGGGCAUCCUCCCCAGCACCACGACAUCCCCCAGCCUCGCUGCCUGGGAACCCAUUCCUUAACCCCAUCCUCUGCCCGAGGCAGGGAGCGAGGCUGGCCUCGGAGGCCGAGAAGCCAGCGGAUGACGAAGGAGGCACCACGGGGGCCUGGGGACGAGCUGCCAGGAGCAGCUCUGGCGGCGGCGGAGCAUCGCUCGCUCUCCCGCUGAACCCAAAGACACUAAAUCACCGCUGA